rnacentral:rRNA from 1 species
UACGUAGGGUGCAAGCGUUAAUCGGAAUUACUGGGCGUAAAGCGUGCGCAGGCGGUGAUGUAAGACAGGUGUGAAAUCCCCGGGCUUAACCUGGGAACUGCAUUCGGGACUGCAUUGCUAGAGUAUGGGAGAGGGAAGUGGAAUUUCAGGUGUAGCGGUGAAAUGCGUAGAUAUCUGAAGGAACAUCAGUGGCGAAAGCGACUUCCUGGACCAAUACUGACGCUCAUGUGCGAAAGCGUGGGGAGCAAACAGG